GCCGCCAUGGUGAAAUUGGUAGACACGCUGUUCUUAGGAAGCAGUGCUCAAGCAUCUCGGUUCGAGUCCGAGUGGCGGCA
rnacentral:tRNA from 1 species